AGCGAACGCUGGCGGCAGGCUUAACACAUGCAAGUCGAGCGCCUGUAGCAAUACAGGAGCGGCAGACGGGAGAGUAACACGUGGGAAUAUGCCCUUCGGUUCGGAAUAACUCAGGGAAACUUGAGCUAAUACCGGAUACGCCCUUACGGGGAAAGAUUUAUUGCCGAAGGAUUAGCCCACGUCCGAUUAGCUAGUUGGUGAGGUAACGGCUCACCAAGGCGACGAUCGGUAGCUGGUCUGAGAGGAUGAUCAGCCUCAUUGGGACUGAGACACGGCCCAAACUCCUACGGGAGGCAGCAGUGGGGAAUAUUGGACAAUGGGCGCAAGCCUGAUCCAGCCAUGCCGCGUGGGUGAUGAAGGCCCUAGGGUUGUAAAGCCCUUUCGGCGGGGACGAUAAUGACGGUACCCGCAGAAGAAGCCCCGGCUAACUUCGUGCCAGCCGCUGCCGUAA
rnacentral:rRNA from 1 species